ensembl:lncRNA
CAAGCCUAUGUGAGGUUGCAACUCUGACAGGAAACAAGAGCAGCAGAUACACACAGCUGCCAGCAUUUGUGUGUGGCUUAAUUCUUCUGAGUCAAAGAUACCACAACCCCUGGAUCUCAAUUUGGAUACGCGUGCCAGGCUCGGUCAGGUUCACUAACAUGAGGAAUGUAUCUGAGUAUUGCAAGCCUCCAAGGAACAAAGUGGUGUGACGUGCAUAUGGAACGGUGCCAUUUUUGCAUAUUUGUGUUUGUGUGUAUAAAUAGGGCUUAGAACGCAUUGUGUACGUGCUUCCACUCAAGUGUCUGUUUGAAUGCCUCUUGAUGAAUUACAAAAUCCACGAUUUGGCUAGGCUGGAUGUUUUUUUACACAAGAGUAAUCCUGCAAUUACAGCUUUUAUCUUUGCGCUUGAGUUCCAUCUGACAAACUACAACUUUUCUGUCCCUUCUAGUUUAUUUAGAUCUUGGAGCCAAGAAGACCAAAUCAAGGAUACACCCUCCAAGAGGAGAUUAUUCAUUCAGCGCAGGGAGGCCCAGAUGGUUAUCAGGAGACUUCUGGCUCGCCGUGCACCUCAUCUGAGGGUAAAUAACGUACCAACGGGGAUUGCCGGUGGCGAUUACAUCAUUUACAGGGAAUCAAAGCACAGGCAAAAAUAGAAGCAGAGGAUUAGGCCACACCUGCAGCCUGAGACGGGCAGACAGGACCUGCCUCAUGUGGGUCCCUCAGGCGGAUGAGUCCCAGACUGAUCUGACAGUGUGACAGGCCUCAGCAUGAUGCUCAACCUAAAAUAAUCACACUAUGUCUCCACAUGUGUGCUUUAUUGUUUUACUCUCAUUAGAGGUGUUUGCUAAGGCAAGUGUCAAAUCACUCAACUUGUACGUGAGUUUAUUGUAUUGCCACGAAAUAAACAAAUUAAAAAGAUAA